rnacentral:rRNA from 1 species
CUAUACAUGACUCUGCGCAUAUCAAUAAGCGGAGGAAAAGAAACUAACAAGGAUUCCCUUAGUAACGGCGAGUGGAGCGGGAAGAGCUCAAAUUUGAAAUCUUCAAGGUUCUACCUUGACGAAUUGUAGUUUAUAGAAGUGUUUUCUGUUAGUAGGAGUGGCAAAAGUUCUUUGGAAUAGGACAUCAUAGAGGGUGAGAAUCCCGUAUUUGGUCAUUCCUUCCUAGCUUUGUGAUACACUUUCAACGAGUCGGAUUGUUUGGGAAUGCAGUCCAAAAUGGGUGGUAAAUUUCAUCUAAAGCUAAGUAUUGGCGAGAGACCGAUAGCGAACAAGUACCGUGAGGGAAAGAUGAAAAGAACUUUGAAAAGAGAGUUAAACAGUACGUGAAAUUGUCAAAAGGGAAGCGUUUGACACCAGUGUUGUUUUUCCGAAAGUCAAUUACGAAUGUUUUGUUUUUGAGGAAGUUAUGACUUCAUCGGCUUGCUCCUUUCUUUAUGAAACUUUCUUAAUGCACUUUUCGGUUAACAAGUCAACAUCAAUUUCUUUUGUUGUAAAAGGGUAUGAGGAAGGUGGCUUUCUUUUCGGAGAAAGUGUUUAUAGCCUUGUGCCUCUACAAUCGGAGAGAUUGAGGUCUGCAGCGUAGAUCCUUCGGGGUUAGAUACGUUUGUGCUAAGUUAUAGCUUUUCAUAGACAACUUGUUGACUAUGUUUAGUCUUGUAGCUUACUCGCUGACGCUAUUUUACCUACGCUUAGGAUGUUGACGAUCAGCUGAGCGCG